rnacentral:piRNA from 1 species
UGCCUGUCCACAUGAUCACUCAUCAUUGU